rnacentral:lncRNA from 1 species
CGAACCUCGUACCUUAUCUUCUUAGAAAACAACCUCGUCCUCCUCUUCUCUCUGUACCUCGAAACCCUAGCUUCUCUGCCUCCAUCUCCAAACCCACUUGAAGGUAAACAUCCACCAACGUACUGCUUUUGAUGAUGACUUUCUCCUCCAUUUCCCACCUAAAUACACAAUCGCAAGUUAUAAUUAAGAGACAUGAACCAUUAUACUCAUUCUAGAGAAAACCCACUUUGAUAUUUCUAAAGAAUGAGUUUAUAUUACAUAUAUACGUACCAUGGAAAUAGCUGGCCAGCCACUGAUGUCUAUGUCUAGUUCAGGUGGAUCUCCUGAUGUCCAUGGUGGACCUUGGCCUCCCCAAGUGGAAAUCACUGAGUCAUAGUUUAAUCUCAGCAUCAGAACAUUCUUCUGCUCUUCUUCCUCCACCUU